GACAGAGGGUGCAAACGUUGUUCGGAAUUACUGGGCGUAAAGCGCGUGUAGGCGGCCCUGCAAGUCGGAUGUGAAAUCCCACGGCUCAACCAUGGAAGUGCAUUCGAAACUGCAGAGCUAGAGUCCUGGAGAGGAAGGUGGAAUGCUUGGUGUAGAGGUGAAAUUCGUAGAUAUCAAGCGGAACACCGGUGGCGAAGGCAGCCUUCUGGACAGUGACUGACGCUGAGACGCGAAAGCGUGGGGAGCAAACAGG
rnacentral:rRNA from 1 species